rnacentral:rRNA from 1 species
AACGAACGCUGGCGGCAUGCCUAACACAUGCAAGUCGAACGAGACCUUCGGGUCUAGUGGCGCACGGGUGCGUAACGCGUGGGAACCUGCCCUUAGGUUCGGAAUAACUCCCCGAAAGGGGUGCUAAUACCGGAUAAUGUCUUCGGACCAAAGAUUUAUCGCCUUUGGAUGGGCCCGCGUUGGAUUAGCUAGUUGGUAGGGUAAAAGCCUACCAAGGCGACGAUCCAUAGCUGGUCUGAGAGGAUGAUCAGCCACACUGGGACUGAGACACGGCCCAGACUCCUACGGGAGGCAGGAGUGGGGAAUAUUGGACAAGGGGCGAAAGGCUGAUCCAGCAAUGACGCGUGAGUGAUGAAGGCCUUAGGGUUGUAAAGCUCUUUUAACCGGGAUGAUAAUGACAGUACCGGGAGAAUAAGCUCCGGCUAACUCCGUG